UACGUAGGGCGCAAGCGUUAUCCGGAAUUAUUGGGCGUAAAGAGCUCGUAGGCGGUUCGUCACGUCGGCUGUGAAAACCUGAGGCUCAACCUCAGGCCUGCAGUCGAUACGGGCGGACUCGAGUUCGGCAGGGGAGACUGGAAUUCCUGGUGUAGCGGUGAAAUGCGCAGAUAUCAGGAGGAACACCGGUGGCGAAGGCGGGUCUCUGGGCCGAUACUGACGCUGAGGAGCGAAAGCGUGGGGAGCGAACAGG
rnacentral:rRNA from 1 species